CCUACGGGAGGCAGCAGUGAGGAAUAUUGGUCAAUGGACGCAAUCCUGAACCAGUCAUGCCGCGUGCAGGAAGACGGCUCUACGAGUUGUAAACUGCUUUUGUACGGGGGUAAAUUGCUAUACGUGUAGCGGGUUGAAAGUACGGUACGAAUAAGGAUCGGCUAACUCCGUGCCAGCAGCCGCGGUAAUACGGAGGAUUCGAGCGUUAUCCGGAUUUAUUGGGUUUAAAGGGUGCGUAGGUGGUUUGAUAAGUUAGAGGUGAAAUCCCGAGGCUCAACAUCGGCACUGCCUCUGAUACUGUAGGACUAGAGUUUAGAUGCGGCAGGCGGAAUGUGUAGUGUAGCGGUGAAAUGCAUAGAGAUCAUACAGAACACCGAUUGCGAAGGCAGCUUGCCAAGC
rnacentral:rRNA from 1 species